rnacentral:misc_RNA from 1 species
AAGCUUUCAGCAAAUUGGAAGGUAAAUUGCAACAUCCUUAUGUUUUCAUAGUCUUCUUCUCUAUGGUAUUAAUAUUUCACACAUGGAGAGGUGGUUACUGAAUUACAUAUAUGAAUAUUCUUCUAACAUAAUUGUUCUUUCAGCCCUAACCUUGCGGGAAAUAUAGUGCUAAACCAAUAAAAUCAGUGAGAGUAACCCGUAUAGUCCACCCCAACUAGAUUGGGAUUGAGUUGUACUUCUGUAUCAUCAGAAUAUACUAUCCUUUGUAUAUGGACCAUAAUCAAACAAA